CACCGAGCCACAUGGAAGCUCAGUAACUUGCUGAGGUCCCCAAAGGCCAGUAGUGAAGACAGGACGAAACUCGCAGGUGGAUAGCUCCCGAGAGCAGGCUAGGAGUGGCCAGCUUCCUUGAGCAUCCUUGAAGGAGGAGGGAGAAGACCGAUUAAUGAGAAAUGGAAAGGCGGAGCGGUGCUCAGCAGUCCCCAGGAGAGUGGAAUUGAGGCCAACCCGAGGAUUCUGCCAGAGAUGGGGUGUACUAGAGCACCACUUGGGAACCUAGACAGCAUGAUCAAACUACAGAGGUUCAAAUGCAGAAGAAAGAUGUGGUUCAUCCCGGGUAAGGUCAGAAGUUGGAACAAACGACCAUCUGGUGGGAGUUGUGGGAGCCUCAUUUUACUUCCCUAAAAGACACUCCCCCUACUUUGAACACACUCAUCCCAUUAUUCUUGCAAUUUUCUGAAGCAGCUCUGGAAGUCUUCUUUCUUAAGUGUCUUUACUUGCACUGCUGUACUGCUGCCUUGAUGUCCUAAACUGGUUGAGAACAUUUACCUUUCAUGGGCAUUUUGACUUUGGAGAAGAGCCAGCAGACACAUGGGGCCAGGCCUGGAGAAGAAGGUGCAUGAAGACAUUGUUGUGUUUAGGAGCCUGCCUUGCUGUUAGAUGGUGCUCAGCAGCAGCAUUCACUGUACUUUUAAUUACACUUCAUGAAGACCCUCACGAAGGAGGACUCCAGAACUGUUCCAGAAAGUGGUUGAAUCAUGGAUAUGCAGAGCUCUGGUUCUAAAGAUAAAGGACAAAUGUUGAUUAUUUUAUGUAGAUGUCCACAGAGAACUUAUUAAGUGUCAAUAAAUAUGCA
rnacentral:lncRNA from 1 species